rnacentral:rRNA from 1 species
GACGAACGCUGGCGGCGCGCUUAAUACAUGCAAGUCGAGCGAGAACUAGGGCUUCGGCCCUGGGGACAGCGGCGAACGGGUGAGUAACACGUGGGUAAUCAACCCCCGACACCGGGAUAGCCCAGGGAAACUUGGAUUAAUACCGGAUGCCCCAUCUGGCUUUCGAGCCGGCUGGAAAAGGGUAGCUUCGGCCUCCGGUCGGGGACGAGCCCGCGGCGGAUUAGCUUGUUGGUGAGGUAAAGGCUCACCAAGGCGACGAUCCGUAGCUGGUCUGAGAGGACGCUCAGCCACACUGGGACAGAGACACGGCCCAGACUCCUACGGGAGGCAGCAGUAGGGAAUCUUGCGCAAUGGCGAAAGCCUGACGCAGCGACGCCGCGUGAGGGAAGAAGGCCUUCGGGUUGUAAACCUCUUUCAGGAGGGACGAAGCCACUCGGGUUAAUAGCCUAGAGGGUGACGGUACCUCCAGAAGAAGCCCCGGCUAACUACGUGCCAGCCGCCGCGGUAA